UACGAGGGGGGCUAGCGUUGCUCGGAAUUACUGGGCGUAAAGCGCGCGUAGGCGGCUUUUCAAGUCAGGGGGGAAAUCCCACAGCUUAACUGUGGAAUUGCCUUUGAAACUGUAAAGCUUGAGUGUCGGAGGGGAUAGCGGAAUUGCUAAUGUAGAGGUGAAAUUCGUAGAUAUUAGCAGGAACACCGGUGGCGAAGGCGGCUAUCUGGACGACAACUGACGCUGAGGCGCGAAAGCGCGGGGAUCAAACAGG
rnacentral:rRNA from 1 species